CUGACAUUGAGAAUGGAUGAAAGGUGGAAGCUGCCUGCAGUGAUAGCAUGACUGCUUUUCACAUGAUGCUUUUCUGGGGACUUGCAGCCUUUCAUGGAAGGUGGGGAUGGCCCCUUCCAGCCGCUCUUCACGGUGUGCUGUGUCUCAGGUUUUCUUUUUGUUCAUCUGAGACACAGAACAUCUCUUGAUGAAGGUCACAGCUUUGAUCCCCGUGGCUCGCUCUUGUGUUUAUAGCCAUUAUUAGUAACAUCAGCUCAUGCACGCACUUCUCCCUGCCUGCCCUUGUCUGGCUGCAAGGGAGCAGGGGCAGGAUAACAAAAGAAAGUAUAAAUAGUCUUUUUAAAAGCCUGUUAAAUAGAAAUAGACUUUUUAGGGAGGAGUUAGAAAGAAUGAGGCAUGUUACCAUAGUAACUGCCAAUGGUUUAUUUAAGAAGGGCAAAGAAACAAACACCACAAAAAGGCGAAGUCGAGAGGAAUAGAAGAUUGCUGGAGGAAUCUGUCGGGACACAGACAACACAGGGCCAGGAAAGCUCUCACUGUGUCAGGAGCAAAUACCAAAGGCCGAAAAUGUAGAAUAGAAACUGCAGCUGGAAUUGCAGGUGUGAUGGUGCCCAGAAACACCACAAUGGGACUGUUCUACUCUUGACAUUAAAGGCUCAAAGACCAGAAGCAGCUUGAAAAUUCCCAUAUUUGGUUUUUCUUUGGUGUUUUGUUUUCAAUCUUGUUGUUUCUAUAUCAGUGUAAGGAUUUCCCCGUGCUCAACUCAUAAUUUUGGAAACCUUGGGGCUGCUACUACUGAAAGGGUUCAAAUGGCAGAGUAGAGACCAAGCUGCCCUGUGAGGAGAGCUAAGACUUGCAGAAAAUACUGAUUUUGUCUCAGAACCACCCCAGCAACUCUAUCAGGGAAAGGGAAACAAUUGCAAAAAGCCUCUGGCCUCUGCUUUGGAGGGCAGGCACCAUGAGCUUUCCCAUCCUAUUUGGCUUCAUGAUACAAUUUAAAACAGUACUGUCUGUGUUCCUAUAACAGGGAGGGAGACUGUCACUUCAGUUUCUGUCAGGAGGCUCCUUCCUCGCAGUGAAAGGUUUACAGUUCUUUUUAGAUCACUGAUUAUGAGCUGAAAGGCCUAUUCCUCCUUAGAGCAAUGCAAAAAAUUGUCCUUGGUUUCCGUCUCCAACACCUGUCUGCUUGGUAAGUGCAUUGCAAUGGUACGACAGCUCCUGAGUGUUACUGAUCUCCAGGAUGAAAUCUGAUGCGUGGUUCAGAAGUCUGAUGUCUUGUGAGCCCAACGGCACAGACAUGUUUGCCAGGGCAUGGAAAUGACUUCAUACAAAAA
rnacentral:lncRNA from 1 species